AGAGUUUGAUCCUGGCUCAGAUUGAACGCUGGCGGCAUGCCUUACACAUGCAAGUCGAACGGCAGCGGACCUUCGGGUGCCGGCGAGUGGCGAACGGGUGAGUAAUGUAUCGGAACGUACCUUUCAGUGGGGGAUAACGUAGCGAAAGUUACGCUAAUACCGCAUAUUCUGUGAGCAGGAAAGCAGGGGAUCGCAAGACCUUGCGCUGAUUGAGCGGCCGAUAUCAGAUUAGCUAGUUGGUGAGGUAAAGGCUCACCAAGGCGACGAUCUGUAGCGGGUCUGAGAGGAUGAUCCGCCACACUGGAACUGAGACACGGUCCAGACUCCUACGGGAGGCAGCAGUGGGGAAUUUUGGACAAUGGGGGCAACCCUGAUCCAGCCAUGCCGCGUGAGUGAAGAAGGCCUUCGGGUUGUAAAGCUCUUUCGGCCGGGAAGAAAUCGCAUGGGUUAAUA
rnacentral:rRNA from 1 species